rnacentral:rRNA from 1 species
AACGAACGCUGGCGGCAGGCCUAACACAUGCAAGUCGAGCGCGCCCUUCGGGGUGAGCGGCGGACGGGUGAGUAACGCGUGGGAACGUGCCCUUCUCUGCGGAAUAGCCUCGGGAAACUGAGAGUAAUACCGCAUACGCCCUUUGGGGGAAAGAUUAUCGGAGAAGGAUCGGCCCGCGUUGGAUUAGGUAGUUGGUGGGGUAAUGGCCCACCAAGCCGACGAUCCAUAGCUGGUUUGAGAGGAUGAUCAGCCACACUGGGACUGAGACACGGCCCAGACUCCUACGGGAGGCAGCAGUGGGGAAUCUUAGACAAUGGGGGCAACCCUGAUCUAGCCAUGCCGCGUGAGUGAUGAAGGCCUUAGGGUUGUAAAGCUCUUUCAGCUGGGAAGAUAAUGACGGUACCAGCAGAAGAAGCCCCGGCUAACUCCGUG